GAUGAAGAACGUAGUGAAAUGCGAUAAGUAAUGUGAAUUGCAGAAUUCAGUGAAUCAUCGAAUCUUUGAACGCACAUUGCGCCCCCUGGUAUUCCGGGGGGCAUGCCUGUCCGAGCGUCAUUACAACCCUCAAGCUCAGCUUGGUGUUGGGCCCCGUCGCCCCGGCGGGCCCUAAAGUCAGUGGCGGUGCCGUCCGGCUCCGAGCGUAGUAAUUCUUCUCGCUCUGGAGGUCCGGUCGUGUGCUCGCCAGCAACCCCCAAUUUUUUUCAGGUUGACCUCGGAUCAGGUAGGGAUACCCGCUGAACUUAAGCAUAUCAAUAAGCGGAGGA
rnacentral:misc_RNA from 1 species